GCAAUAGCUGAUUGCAUUUAAUUUAAUGUAGUUACUACUUGGUAGUUUAAAUUUCUAGGUAGAAUUAUGAUGAUGACAUUAUCUAUCUAUUAGUCUUGACCAAAUUACGUGCCAGCAGUCGCGGUAAUACGUAGAAGACAAGCGUUAUUCAUCUUUAUUAGGUUUAAAGAGUACCAAGACGGUUAAUAAAGCCCAAAAAAAAUGAAUACGGGGGACACAUUAACUAGAGUUAUAUGAAAGGAAGCUAUAAGGUACUGUUGAGUGUAGAGAUGAAAUUUUAUGAUACCAGAUGAUUGGCACAGAUUUAGGCGAAGGCAUCUUCUUAUGUAAUAACUGACGUUGUAGGACGAAGGCUUAAGUAGUGAACAGGAUUAGGUACCCCAGUAAUCUAGGCAGAAAAUGAUGAAUGUCAUAGGUUGAAUAUUGUGUCUAUAAAUGAAAGUGUAAGCAUUCCACCUCAAGAGUAAUUUGGCAACAUUGGAACUGAAAUCAUUAGACCGUUUCUGAAACCAGUAGUGAAGUAUGUUGUUUAAUUAGAUGAUACACAAAAACCUUACCACAAUUUGAAUAUAUAUAAAAUAUAUUUACAAGCGCUGCACGGCUGUCUACAGUUAAUGUCGUGAGACUUUGGUUAGCUCCAAUAAAUAGACGUAAACCCUAAUUUUAUUUAUAAAUAUAAU
rnacentral:rRNA from 1 species